CUAAGUUUGAUGGCGACCGGCGCACGGGUGAGUAACACGUAUCCAACCUGCCGAUGACUCGGGGAUAGCCUUUCGAAAGAAAGAUUAAUACCCGAUGGCAUAGUUCUUCCGCAUGGUAGAACUAUUAAAGAAUUUCGGUCAUCGAUGGGGAUGCGUUCCAUUAGGUUGUUGGCGGGGUAACGGCCCACCAAGCCUUCGAUGGAUAGGGGUUCUGAGAGGAAGGUCCCCCACAUUGGAACUGAGACACGGUCCAAACUCCUACGGAGGCAGCAUG
rnacentral:rRNA from 1 species